CCUUUAUAUUGGCCCAAGUGGGAUUANCUAUUUGGUGAGGUAAUGGCUCACCAAGGCNACUAUCCCUAGNAUGGUUUGAGAGGAUGAUCANCCACACUGGGACUGANACACGGCCCANACUCCUACGGGAGGCAGCAGUGGGGAAUAUUGCACAAUGGGCGCAAGCCUGAUGCANCCAUGCCGCGUGUGUGAANAANGCCUUC
rnacentral:rRNA from 1 species